rnacentral:SRP_RNA from 1 species
CCAUGAUAGACGGGGAAUUAGCGAUGCCUUGUAACCUGCGAUCGCUAUAGCAGGGUUGAUGCCCACCCGAGGGAUGUGGCUAUGUGGUCUGCCUCAAAAAAGUGGCGUUGAGGAUAGGGUCCUAUGCAACGUAACCUUGUGAACCGUGUCAGAUCUUGACGGAAGCAGCACUAAGCAAGUCCUUGCGUGUGUUGUAGGGAAGCCUUAUCUGAGUUAACUCUUUGGGUAACGCAUGGAGUCAUUUUUCGAAGGUGGGUUCAUGG